AGAAUCAACGCUGGCGGCGUGCCUAACACAUGCAAGUCGAGCGCGAAUGGGGAGCAAUCUCCUAGUAGAGCGGCGAACGGGUGAGUAACGCGUGGGUAAUCUAUCUUCGAGUGGGGAAUAAUUCCGGGAAACUGGGGCUAAUACCGCAUGACAUCGUCGGGUCGAUGGAUCUGACGAUCAAAGUCGGGGACCGCAAGGCCUGGCGCUUGAAGAGGAGCUCGCGUCCGAUUAGCUAGUUGGCGGGUAACGCCCACAAGGCGACGAUCGGUA
rnacentral:rRNA from 1 species